GUUUGGGAUCGGGAGUGAAUAGGAGAGCGAACAGGAGAGGGAGAGACAAAGGAGGGAGAGCUCUACAGCAGCUACGCGGCAGCGAUAGGAGCGCUGGUGACCGGAGGGGCCGCUCGCCCUACAGCAGGUCCUCCUCGCGACGGGAGAGGAAGCAGGCGGGGCCCCCGGUCGGGUUCGAUCCUGCGGCGCAUCGGAGCGGUAGCGGAGAAGAAGGACGGUGCCAGCGGCGUGCAGGGGCGGUAGCUAGAGGUGGUGGCCCGGAGGGGCCGGUAGAGCUCGAGCGGAUGCUGGAGGGGUACGACCUCAGGUCCUCGGUCUGCGGUGGCAGCUGCUGCUGAGGAUGCUGUGACCUCCACGGAUGAUGAUGCACGUCGGGUGA
rnacentral:rRNA from 1 species